rnacentral:misc_RNA from 1 species
ACAGUGACCAGAGGAGUGUCAUGGGAAUGUUUCCAGCCGUUUAAGCGCUUUUGUAACAUCAUGGCACAGCCAGGUUACGGGUACCCACCGCCUGUGGAAAGUAACCCUCAACUUCAAGGAGGUUAUCAACCACCUCAAGGAGGUUAUCCACCGCUUCAAGGUGGUUAUCCACCACCUCAAGGUGGUUAUCCCCCACCACAAGCAGGUUAUCCACCGCCGGCGCAACCUGGAUAUGCUCCUACUCAACCUGGCUAUGCACCGCCUGUUAGCCAACAACCUGGAUUUGCAGCCCCAGCUCCUGCAGGUUAUGGACAAAUGCAAUGGAUGCCUCCUCCCCCAGUUCCAGCGAACUGUCCUCCAGGACUGGAAUAUCUAACCCAAAUAGAUCAACUUUUAAUAAAACAGCAAGUCGAACUCCUAGAAGCUUUCACUGGCUUUGAAACCAACAACAAAUACAAGAUUUUGAACAGCAUGGGACAGCAGGUGUUUUUCGCAGCGGAAGAUACUGAUUGCUGUACACGACAGUGUUGUGGCCCAGGAAGACCUUUUGAAAUGAAAAUCCUGGACAAUCAUGAGCAGGAAAUUGUGCAUUUGACUCGUCCUCUGCGUUGUCAGUCUUGCUUAUUUCCUUGUUGUCUUCAAGAGAUUGAAGUGCAAUCACCACCUGGGACAGUCCUUGGCUACUGUGCUCAGGAAUGGUCAAUAUGCAUUCCUAAGUUUACAAUCCAGAAUGCUGACAGAGAAACAAUCCUGAGAAUUGAAGGACCCUUCUGCCAGUGCAGUCUCUGUGGAGAUGUUGACUUUCAGGUGCUCUCUGCAGAUGGCCAGAAUCAGGUUGGAAGAAUUUCUAAACAGUGGACUGGUUUGGUAAAGGAGGCGUUUACUGACGCAGACAACUUUGGUAUCACAUUUCCUAUGGACCUUGAUGUGAAAAUGAAGGCUGUUGUACUUGGUGCUUGUUUUCUCAUUGAUUUCAUGUUCUUUGAGCAAGCACAGAACCAGGAUAAUAGCAGUUAUUAAUCAGUACCACCAGAAAAGUUUAUCAAGUUUAGCAGGGAAGGAACCAGAAAAGAGCAUGUAUACGUAAUGUUUUGCAGGAGUGCAGAGAAAUUUAUUGCUAUAUAGAGAUUGUCAAUGACAUGGGCAAUCCAGCCUUUCACUGAAGCUGUGUACCUUUUUUUUUCUUUUUUUUUUAACGAACGGUUUCAACAACCGUUUUGUCGCACAAGGCUGUUUCCUUGGGGUGGUGUGAUAUCACGCAAGUGUCAUAGAUAGGCAUCAUAUCACGCUCUUCGUAAAAUCCCGACGAGAUCAAUAUUUCAGUUUUUUUUGUUUUUGUUUACAAGGUUAUAGUCGUUCGUGGUUGACACUCAUUGAUUUUGAUGUUUUCAUUUGACUAAGUUUUUUAACAACCCGGAGAAGUAAUUGAAAGAAAGGGCUGUCUUGAAACUGAAAGACUGCCUCGAGACUGCCGUUUCGGACAGUUGCUAAUGGAAAUUUGACCCCCUAAAGAUAUGUGCAUGUCUGAAAACAUAAUGAUUGUAAAAAAAUAGAUUUUU